rnacentral:rRNA from 1 species
CAAAACUUUCAACAACGGAUCUCUUGGUUCUC